AACGAACGCUGGCGGCAUGCCUAACACAUGCAAGUCGAACGAGACCUUCGGGUCUAGUGGCGCACGGGUGCGUAACGCGUGGGAACCUGCCCUUAGGUUCGGAAUAACUCCCCGAAAGGGGUGCUAAUACCGGAUAAUGUCUUCGGACCAAAGAUUUAUCGCCUUUGGAUGGGCCCGCGUUGGAUUAGCUAGUUGGUAGGGUAAAAGCCUACCAAGGCGACGAUCCAUAGCUGGUCUGAGAGGAUGAUCAGCCACACUGGGACUGAGACACGGUCCAGACUCCUACGGGAGGCAGCAGGGGGGAAUAUUGGACAAUGGGCGAAAGCCUGAUCCAGCAAUGCCGCGUGAGUGAUGAAGGCCUUAGGGUUGUAAAGCUCUUUUACCCGGGAUGAUAAUGACAGGACCGGGAGAAUAAGCUCCGGCUAACUCCGU
rnacentral:rRNA from 1 species